AUUGAACGCUGGCGGCAGGCCUAACACAUGCAAGUCGAGCGAGCGGCGGACGGGUGAGUAAUGUCUGGGUAACUGCCUGAUGGAUGGGGCUAACUACUGGAAACGGUAGCCAAUACCGCAUACCAUCAGAUGUGCCCCGAUGGGAUUAGCUAGUAGGUGGGGUAACGGCUCACCUAGGCGACGAUCCCUAGCUGGUCUGAGGGGAUGACCAGCCACACUGGAACGUAGACACGGGCCAGACUCCGACUGUAGGCAGCAGGGGGGAAUAUUGCACAAUGGGCGCAAGCCUGAUGCAGCCAUGCCGCGUGUGUGAAGAAGGCCUUCGGGUUGUAAAGCACUUUCAGCGGGGAGGCGUUACCCGCAGAAGAAGCACCGGCUAACUCCGUGCCAGCCGCCGCGGUAAUAC
rnacentral:rRNA from 1 species